AUUGAACGCUGGCGGCAGGCCUAACACAUGCAAGUCGAGCGGGGUGAUGGUGCUUGCACUAUCACUUAGCGGCGGACGGGUGAGUAAUGCUUAGGAAUCUGCCUAUUAGUGGGGACAACAUCUCGACAGGGAUGCUAAUACCGCAUACGUCCUACGGGAGAAAGCAGGGGAUCACUUGUGACCUUGCGCUAAUAGAUGAGCCUAAGUCGGAUUAGCUAGGUGGUGGGGUAAAGGCCUACCAAGGCGACGAUCUGUAGCGGGUCUGAGAGGAUGAUCCGCCACACUGGGACUGAGACACGGCCCAGACUCCGACGGGAGGCAGCAGUGGGGACUAUUGGACAAUGGGGGGAACCCUGAUCCAGCCAUGCCGCGUGUGUGAAGAAGGCCUUAUGGUUGUAAAGCACUUUAAGCGAGGAGGAGGCUCUUUUGGUUAAUACCCAAGAUGAGUGGACGUUACUCGCAGAAUAAGCACCGGCUAACUCUGUGCCAGCAGCCGCCGUAA
rnacentral:rRNA from 1 species